AGCAAUAAAACUUAUUUCUGAUCCACAACAGCCAGGAAGAGCUAAACCCUGCUAAACUUCGAGAUGAAGCAGAACUUCUUGAGCCUUCCUUUUCAGAAAACUAUGAUUCUGUAGAUGAGUUGCUGAGCCACCUCCCGCUGGACCUCUGAAGGAGAUCUGGUAGAGUCUGUGACAAGAACAAGCUAUUUUUGAAUUCCACAUAGUAUUUCAAAGGAUGACUUUAGUCAUCAAACCAGAACAAAUAUGUUGUGAAGUGAAAGUUGUGAUAUAUUUGUUUCUUAUGUAAUAAAAGUUGAUAUUUACAUUGUAAAUAUUACUCUAGAGUUCUCUACUGAAAGCUGUACAUAUGGAUGCCAGUUUAACUCAUGAGAAAUUUGUGAGUCCAUAUGCUGUAAAUCCUUUACUUCAAUAAAUUCAUU